rnacentral:rRNA from 1 species
GACGAACGCUGGCGGCGCGCCUAAUACAUGCAAGUCGAACGAGUACGGACUUCGGUCCAUAUGUACGAGUGGCGAACGGGUGAGUAACACGUGAGAAACCUGCCUCGGAGAUCGGGACAACCAUUGGAAACGAUGGCUAAUACCGAAUGCCCUCUUUUGGUCGCAUGACCGAAUGAGGAAAUGAUCCGUCGCUCCGGGAGGGUCUCGCGGCCUAUCAGCUUGUUGGUGAGGUAACGGCUCACCAAGGCAUCGACGGGUAGCUGGUCUGAGAGGACGAUCAGCCACACUGGGACUGAGACACGGCCCAGACUCCUACGGGAGGCAGCAGUAGGGAAUCUUGCACAAUGGGCGAAAGCCUGAUGCAGCGACGCCGCGUGGGGGAUGAAGGCCUUCGGGUUGUAAACUCCUUUCAGUAGGGACGAAAAUGACGGUACCUACAGAAGAAGCUCCGGCCAACUACG